UGAAAUCAAAGAAUGAGAAAAUAUAUCCGAACAUUAAAGACUAUGAAACAUGUAAUCUUGAACCUGAUUCCAUUUCUCACCUUAUCUCUGAUUCCAACAAUCAUGAUUGUAAUAACGGUUACUGCAAAACAGAUAUUCCUUGUCAUGUACAAACAAAGCAAGCAUCAACUAGCAUUGUAAGUAAUAGCGACGUACUCAACAAGGACACGACAUUCGCUCUUAACAAAUUAAUUGCCAACAAUCCAGGUACAAAACGAAGAACUUCAAAUCGAUUUCUUAACAAAUCAAUUACUAGUAAUCCAGGUAUAAAAGAAAAUACUUCAAAUGGAUUUAUUAACAAUUCGAUUACCAGUAAACCAGGUAGAAAAGGGAGUACUUCGAAUGGAUGACAGGAAAUCACUGACUGUAUAAUUCCAUGGUUGCAUUAUGUGAUCUACAAUCCAAACCUUAUUUGAUGCAACAUGUACAUUGUAUGUAUCCUUGUUUUAACUUACAUACAUCGUGUUAACAUCGCAUUUGUUGAAUGUUCCCCACAGAACAUGGAAUAUCUUAAUACGUUUUGAAAUCAGUGUUGUAUAACUAUGUUUCAGAAAUAAACAGUUAUUAACAUUAAAA